ACUACUAUAUAUAUGUGUGUAUACAGAGAGAGAGAAUAUGCUUAAAAUCUGUGUAAAAUAAGAGAGCUUAUUUUGUAGGGUUAACCAGGACUGCCAUGGAGGACAGUAGCGCGCAAAAUUCCAUUGUUGAAGGAGAUACAAAUCAUGGGCUGGAAAGAAUGCACAAACUACAUGAUGAUAAGCUGUUAAAAGUGGAAGAGCUUAAGGGGGAGAAAGAAGCGAUGAUUGUUGAGUUAAAAAAGAAGAAGACUGAAACAAGAGUUUUCAAGGACCUCGCUCAUAAUUAUACCACCAAAAGAGAUCAACUUUUUAUGGCCUUGUCAGGAAAAGACAAGUAAUUGUAGUUCAAUUUUCGAUCUCUAAGUUUCAAAUAUAAAUGGAGUUUUAGCUCACUUUUCUCA